rnacentral:rRNA from 1 species
CCCUUAGAUGUUCUGGGCCGCACGCGUGCUACACUGAGUGGAUCAGCGGGUCAGGUUGCGCGAAAGCGUUUCCUAAUCUUUAAAUCCGCUCGUGAUGGGGAUUGACGGUUGCAAUUUUCUGUCAUGAACGAGGAAUACCUUGUAAGCGCGGGUCAUCAUCCCGCGCUGAAUACGUCCCUGCCCUUUGUACACACCGCCCGUCGCUCCUACCGAUUGAGUGGUCCGGUGAGGCUUUGGGAUCUGAGCGGAAAGAGCGUUUCGCUGUUUCUGCUCGGAAAACUCAGUCGAACCUUAUCAUUUAGAGGAAGGAGAAGUCGUAACU